rnacentral:rRNA from 1 species
AAGGGCACCACAAGAACGCGUGGAGCAUGUGGCUUAAUUUGACUCAACGCGGGAAAUCUUACCGGGUCCGGACACACUGAGGAUUGACAGAUAUAUAUAUAUUAUCUCUUUCGCUUCGGCGUUAGGGAUAAUUGAAAGAUGCUAGUUCUUUCAUGAUUAUGUGAUAGGUGGUGCAUGGCCGUUCUUAGUUCGUGGAGUGAUCUGUCUGCUUAAUUGCGUAUCAAUUAAAAAGACCUAGUAUACGCGUACUUGCUUCGUUACGGUUCGUGACCCCCUCUUAACUGAGGCGUGUGUCGCACGUACGAGCAUACGCAUAGGUCUUUGAUAGCAACGAACGUGACCGUACUCUAUUGUUGCAGCGAAUGAUACUUCGCGGUAUCUACCGCUGCUUAGUGCGUGUAUUGUUGCUUCGGUAACGUUACCGCACAUUAAACUAUAGAGACCGCUGUAUUUUCUUUAAACCAGAGGAAGGAUACGGCAAUAACAGGUCUGUGAUGCCCUCAGAUGUUCCGGGCUGCACACGUGCUACAAUGAUCAUUGCACUGUGCAUCUAACCCAAUGUGCGUGGACGCCACGUUUUGUACGUCGCUUCGGUGAUGUAUGAAUCAGUUGGUCGACCACGCCGAACCUACUUCGAAAGUAAAAUUUCUUUGUGGGUAAUCCAUUAGAAGUAAUGACUCGCAUAGACCAUGGUACACUAUAUAUGUACGCGCAAGUUCUACCCGGCUAUACCUUUGUGUAUAGUGCAGUGCGUAGCUUGUUGUUUUCGUACGUACCAACAUUUACGUAUUAAUUCAUACGUGGGGAUAGAUCAUUGUUUAAUUGUUGGUCUCGGUCUUAACUAGGAAUGCCUUGUACGGGUCUUUGGUUCAACAUACCACCCGGAAUACGUCCCUGCCCUUUGUACACACCGCCCGUCGCUCUUACCGAUGGAUUAUACUAUGAAUCUAUAGGACUGCCAAAGCAUACAUUAAUUUGUGUGCUUAGUGGAAAUAUAUAUGAAUAGUGUGAUCUAGAGGAAAGAGAAGUCGUAACAAGGCAUCGGUAGGUGAACCUGCAGAAGGAUCA